rnacentral:rRNA from 1 species
UAGCUAAAUGCGGAAGAGAUAAGUGCUGAAAGCAUCUAAGCACGAAACUUGCCCCGAGAUGAGUUCUCCCUGACUCCUGGAGAGGCCUGAAGGAACGUGGAAGACGACGACGUUGAUAGGCCGGGUGUGUAAGCGCAGCGAUGCGUUGAGCUAACCGGUACUAAUGAACCGUGAGGCUUAACCUU